AUGAAACUUUGAUAGCCUGUAGAGUUUCGGGCGCUGAGUCGAAUGGUCUUGGUCCGAAGCCUCUACGACGAAGCGUUCUUGAGAUAUUUCACUUUGAAAUUGCAAAAACGGGGCCGCGCCCUGACGUCAUGCGGCCAUUUGGUUACAUCAUCACGGGCUGCCUACGUCAUUGUGGCAUAGUCGUUUCUCUUCGCCAGUCUACAAGCACUAAUUUUAGUUGGUAUUUCAAGGGAAGAUGGGCGAUUCCGAACAAUCCUCUGUCCCCAGCAAUGAAGGCAGCGAUGCUGAGGCCAGUGAGGACGACCAACAGCCCACCGCCGCGUAUGGUUGGGGCAGGGAGCCCAGAUACUCUGCUGAGGAGCUGCCAUCGCGUGUAACAAAUGUUGAGGAAGAAGAUGCGUCAGCAGCUGCGUCCGACAGAAGACGAGUAGCUUGGCCACCAGAAUCUCGAUUCGUUUGGGACUCCGACUGGUGCGAGCGUGGACAAAAGUGUAUAGCCAUGCCCAGCCAGCGGGAAUGAUUUUGCUGGUAGGAUGCUGCCGUCGCUGUCGACAAGAUGGCCCAAGGUUUCUUGCGUAGCGGACCUCGCAGAUUACGAGAUCGUAUCCUUGCAUUAGGCUGUGCCCACCACUGCUCUUCGAGGUUAUCUCGACAUGCAGAAGCCGCCAAUGCCAGUGACAGAAGAGUCUGACAUUACAUCUCUACGCUAUGCGGCACACAGGCAGUACACACUAUGUACACGGCAAAUUGGGCAAGCACGUUCGUGGUCGUCUUCCAGCCUGCGUUGUGAAUACCAUCAGGCAAAGAUAUCCAAAUCCUGCACCACCUCAGCCUUCUCAGGAGGCUUCCACCUGGAAUUUGGCAGGGAAACCUGCUUCUCCAAAGCAGGAACAUCGAGGUUGCCAUUUGCAACCGCUACCACCUCACACAUGAGCUUGUCAACAUACUCAUAGCUCUUUCUGUCGUAUAAUUUUCUAUUUGGCCACAGUCUUCUUUAUGCUUUGAGAACUGGACUUUAUACCUUCC